CGCCCAAUAGCUAGCCCCCGAACCAAAAACAACAAAUUACCAUAAAUAACCCCAAACACACUAGUGUUAUAUUAAAUAAAUCAUUCUUCCCCCUUAGUACGGGCGACAGAAAAGGGACUACGGCGCAAUAGAAAAAGUACCGCAAGGGAACGCUGAAAGAGAAAUGAAAGAACCCAGUAAAGCCUUAAAAAGCAGAGAUUUUUACUUGUACCUUUUGCAUCAUGAUUUAGCUAGAAAUGCCCAGGCAAAGAGAACUUUAGUCUGGUUUCCCGAAACUAAGUGAGCUACUCCAAGACAGCCUAUUAAUAGGGCACACCCGUCUCUGUGGCAAAAGAGUGGGAGGAGCUUUGAGUAGAGGUGACAGACCUACCGAACUUAGUUAUAGCUGGUUGCCUGAGAAUUGGAUAGGAGUUCAGCCUCCCGGCUUCUUUUCUCACCCUUGUCCUAACACCCUAUAGACACCCAAAGAAUACCGCGAGAGUUAGUCAAAGGGGGUACAGCCCCUUUGAAAUAAGACACAACUUUUCCAGGAGGGUAAAGAUCAUAAUAAACUAAAGUAAAAUGUUCUGGUGGGCCUAAAAGCAGCCACCCCCCUAGAAAGCGUUAAAGCUCAGACAUACCACUUACCUUCUUAUUCUGAUAACUUAUCUUAACCCCCUAACCUUAUCAGGCCGCCCCAUGCUUUCAUGGGGGUGACCAUGCUAAUAUGAGUAAUAAGAGAGCCUCGACUCUCUCCCCGCACACGUGUAAAUCGGAACGGACAAGCCACCGAACCUUAACGGCCCCAAACAAAGAGGGUAAUGAACAAUAGACUAAACAACUAGAAAAACAUUCAAACUUUAACCGUUAACCCCACACUGGAGUGCCCCCCGGGAAAGACUAAAAGAAAAAGAAGGAACUCGGCAAACACAUAAAGCCUCGCCUGUUUACCAAAAACAUCGCCUCUUGCUGAAAUUAAAGAAUAAGAGGUCCCGCCUGCCCUGUGACUAUAAGUUUAACGGCCGCGGUAUUUUGACCGUGCGAAGGUAGCGCAAUCACUUGUCUUUUAAAUGAAGACCUGUAUGAAUGGCAUAACGAGGGCUUAGCUGUCUCCUUUUUCCGGUCAAUGAAAUUGAUCUCCCCGUGCAGAAGCGGGGAUGAGACCAUAAGACGAGAAGACCCUAUGGAGCUUUAGACACCAAGGUAAGCCAUGUUAAAUACCCCAAAAUAAAGGGCUAAACCAAAUGAAAUUUACCCCCAUGUCUUUGGUUGGGGCGACCGCGGGGAAAUACAAAACCCCCACGUGGAAUGAGAAUACUCUUUCCUACAACUAAGAGCCCCCGCUCUAGUUAACAGAAUUUCUGACCAGCAAGAUCCGGCAACGCCGAUCAACGGACCGAGUUACCCUAGGGAUAACAGCGCAAUCCCCUUUUAGAGCCCAUAUCGACAAGGGGGUUUACGACCUCGAUGUUGGAUCAGGACAUCCUAAUGGUGCAGCCGCUAUUAAGGGUUCGUUUGUUCAACGAUUAAAGUCCUACGUGAUCUGAGUUCAGACCGGAGUAAUCCAGGUCAGUUUCUAUCUAUGCUAUGAUCUUUUCUAGUACGAAAGGACCGAAAAGGAGAGGCCCAUGCUUCAAGUAUGCCUCACCCCCACCUAAUGAAAACAACUAAAAUAGGCAAAAGGGCAUGUCCCCUUUUGCCUAAGACUACGGCAA
rnacentral:rRNA from 1 species